GGUCUCGAACUCCUGAGCUCAAACGAUCCGCCUGCCUUGGCCUCCCAGAAUGCUAGGAUUACUCUGCUGUACAUCACUAUGCAUGUACAGCAGAGAUUCUGAUGCAGAAUGACGGUCAUGCCAACAUUCUGCAUCUUCAGAAGUAUCCUGAGCCAGAGUGAGAAUCACUCUUGUCAUGUGAAAAACAAUAAUAUUGUUAGUGGCACUACCAAACCAAGUACCUUUCUUAAGCCUUUCAAAACCAAUGACCAAGUAUUUUUACACUUGUUAUAUAGAUGAAGAAAACAAAAACACCACCUAACCUCUACAAUCAGACAUUAACAGGUGCUGUGGUUCACGCCUACAAACUGAGGAAGCUGAGGCAAGGAGGAUCAUUUGAGGCUAGGAGUUUGAGACCAGCCUAGAUACUGAGAUGUUUCUGGCCCUGCCUGUAGGUGCUCCUGCAAUCCCUAUCCAGGGAACUUGCCUACUUGGGUACAUGAAUUUUCUCCAAAUGACAUCAUUCAAACCAACUCUCACUUAGUUUCUAUAGCAUAUGCACCUACCUCCACCAGUCACCCAGCAAACAACAAUUCAGCCUCUAGCCUGACAGCACAAUCUCAAAAUGCCUGUGGUCAAAAGGCCAUAGGAAGAAGGACAUUUAUUUAAGGAGGACCAUCUGAAGGCAAGGAGCUCUAAGUCUAUCCUUGGAUUCAAGCCAGACAACAACAGACGGCCACAGAGACAGACCACGUUAUCUCAGCUCUGAAAAGAACUGGCAUCAUUGAGUUGGGCUUACUGUUAUUAUCAGGUGGAUUUCAUAAGAAACUGUCAAAAAAUUAUUACCUUAUUUGCUGUAGGAAUGAUAUACGGUAUAACAUCCCCCCAUCACUCAACGCCCCUGAUAUAAAGCCCCAGGUGGGAAAUUUGUUUUAGAACUUAAUGUUAAGAAAUGUUGUUCCUUUCCAAUGAUAAAAAUUAUAUAACUCA